rnacentral:tRNA from 1 species
GGCGGUAUAGCUCAGGGGUUAGAGCGCUCGGCUCAUAACCGAGUUGUCCCUGGUUCGAAUCCAGGUACCGCCACCA